ensembl:rRNA 5S_rRNA 5S ribosomal RNA
AUCGAUGGCCAUUACCACCCUAACUGCGUGGGAGCUCAUCUGAUCUCCGAAGCUAAGCAGGGUCGGGUCUGCUUAGCAAUGGGAUGGGAGCAAGCACAAGUGACUCGCCCCAUUGUAAUAAGUGAAACUGUGAGA